rnacentral:lncRNA from 1 species
GACAACAUCCAGCCUCCGUCUCUCAAUAAAUAAAUGGGACAAUUUUGUCCACAAGGGGACAUUUGGCAAUAUUUGGAGGCAUCUGAGGGAAGGGGGCGUGCUGCUAUCUAACGGGUAGAGGCCAGGGGUUCUGCUAAACAUCCUAUAUGAUGCAUAAAACAGCUGCACACAAAGAAUUGUCCAGUCCAAAAUACCUUCAGUACUUACGCUGAGAAACCCUGUUCUACAGAUAUAGAGAUGAAGAAGAGACAGUAUCUGUCUUGAAAAAGCUUACUGUCUAGUGGGUGAAUGCAAGGUGGAAACAAAGCUAUGUCCAAGAUGCUCCAGGUGCAGAGAAGAAGAGGGGAUGCUUAAGUAAAAAUAUUGGAAGAUAGGAGCUUGCCAUGGGUACUCAGGAUGGAAAGAAAUGAUUUUAUGUAGAGGGAAGAGCACGGGAAAACAUUUAAAUAGGUGCAAAGCAUUUUGGAGUCUAAGAGGUGCUAGUAGUUGAGAAUUGUUAGAGCUCAGGCUGCCGGUCGCGGGGAAGGCAGGCGCGAAGGGGUGCAGGGAAGAAGGAGGAGGCGGCGGCAGUGGCGGUGGCCAUGGCAGAAGCGGAAACAGGAGCAGCAGCAGCAGCAGCAGCGGCAGGAGAGGCACACAGGAGCCAGAUCCUAAAGGCUUUGUAUGCCACAUUAGGAAAGAAUUUGGAAUACAGCUUCUGUUUGGAAAACAUUUUCUGUAACCAGCCCGACACAGAGACGGGGUUUUGCAUGUUGGCCAGGCUUGUCUCGAACUCCCGACCUCAAGUGAUCAGCCCGCCUUGGCCUCCCAAAGUGCUGGGAUUACAGGUGUGAGGCACCGCUCCUGGCCAAGACCAAUAUUUCUUGACGCUGACUUCAGGAGCUAGAACAGAACUGGUUGGAGCCCAGCUAAACUAAAAAGCACAGCCAAGGGCAGCAAAGCCUUCUAUGUUUACAGAGCCAAAAGGAUGCCGAAGGCCCUGGAAGUUGAAAAUCAAGACUGGCUGCUGUAAAGCAGACCAUCUCAGACGUAUUCUCAUUCCUGACAAAUACCCACCCACCAGCAGGACUGGGAGACACAUGGCAACCAGAGCAAGUUGUCAAAACUUAUCAUUAUAAAACGUCCAUCUUACAAAAGUA